UACGGAGGAUGCGAGCGUUAUCCGGAUUUACUGGGCGUAAAGGGAGCGUAGGCGGCCUGCCAAGUCUGAUGUGAAAUACCGGGGCUCAACCCCGGGGCUGCAUUGGAAACUGGCAGGCUGGAGUGCCGGAGAGGCAGGCGGAAUUCCUAGUGUAGCGGUGAAAUGCGUAGAUAUUAGGAGGAACAUCAGUGGCGAAGGCGACUUUCUGGACUGUAACUGACGCUGAGGCACGAAAGUGUGGGGAGCAAACAGG
rnacentral:rRNA from 1 species